GUCAGAUUUUUUUUUAAAACCAGACUUCUUCUCUCUCUCCUCACUCUCUCUCUCUCCCCCGACUGUGCUCCAGCCGACCACCACCACGCACGCCGGACAGGCCAAGAAUGAACCGGCGCCACCUCCCCCAGCCGUCCGACGCCUUCCCCGACCGUCAGCAGCACGGGUCUCGCCGGAAAACCAUGGUUUUCGGCCAGAUUUUCUCCGAAUUUCCAAACCCUCGUUCUCCUUCCUCCGGCCACCAAAUCGGACGAAUUAGGCACCUGGGCACCAGUUGACCCGCAGGAGGGACCUUCAAAAGGUCCAGCUAGCUCAGAGCACCUGUGAGUGGACUGUUUGUUUUAUAAAUGUUUUAUGCAUUUUAAUUUCAUUAUUUGAUCUUAAAUAAGUUUUACUGAAUACAGCUUUCCUAGCAUGACUUGAUAGAUUUAAAUCUUUCUGUUUAUUUAUUUGCUGCCUAAUGGAACAUUUAAAAAGGGAUUUGGAAAGUCAGAACUGAGGUAUUAUCAGAUUAAAUGGCAGCAGGAUUUAAGGAAUAGUUUUAUAAGUAGUUUUAUAAA